AUACGGAAGGCAGCAGUGGGGAAUUUUGGACAAUGGGCGCAAGCCUGAUCCAGCCAUGCCGCGUGUGGGAAGAAGGCCUUCGGGUUGUAAACCACUUUUGUCAGGGAAGAAACGGCUUUUUCUAAUACAGAGAGCCAAUGACGGUACCUGAAGAAUAAGCACCGGCUAACUACGUGCCAGCAGCCGCGGUAAUACGUAGGGUGCAAGCGUUAAUCGGAAUUACUGGGCGUAAAGCGUGCGCAGGCGGCUUUGCAAGACAGAUGUGAAAUCCCCGGGCUCAACCUGGGAACUGCAUUUGUGACUGCAUGGCUAGAGUACGGUAGAGGGGGAUGGAAUUCCGCGUGUAGCAGUGAAAUGCGUAGAUAUGCGGAGGAACACCGAUGGCGAAGGCAAUCCCCUGGACCUGUACUGACGCUCAUGCACGAAAGCGUGGGGAGCAAACAGGAUUAGAUACCCGAGUAU
rnacentral:rRNA from 1 species